rnacentral:rRNA from 1 species
GAUGAACGCUGGCGGCGUGCUUAAUACAUGCAAGUCGAACGGAGACUGUAGCAGUACUGUCUUAGUGGCGAACGGGUGAGUAACGCGUUGGUGACCUGCCCCGAAGAGGGGGAUAACAGUCCGAAAGGAUUGCUAAUACCCCAUGUGGUCGUUUGGAUUAGAUGCCUUACGACUAAACGGAUUUAUUCGCUUCGGGAGGGGCCUGCGUCCCAUCAGCUAGUUGGUAGGGUAAUAGCCUACCAAGGCGAUGACGGGUAGGGGACCUGAGAGGGUGGCCCCCCACAAUGGAACUGAAACACGGUCCAUACACCUACGGGUGGCAGCAGUAGGGAAUAUUGGUAAUCUGGGAAACCGGGAACCAGCAACGCCGCGUGCGCGAUGAAGGCCUUCGGGUUGUAAAGCGCUUUUUAAAGGGAUGAGGAAGGACAGUACCUUUAGAAUAAGCCUCGGCUAACUACGUG